CAGCCGUAAACUAUGCGCGUUAGGUGUAUCGGUGACCACGAGUUACCGAGGUGCCGAAGGGAAACCGUGAAACGUGCCGCCUGGGAAGUACGGUCGCAAGGCUGAAACUUAAAGGAAUUGGCGGGGGGAGGCACCACAACAGGUGGAGCCUGCGGUUUAAUUGGACUCAACGCCGGGAAGCUCACCCGGAUAGGACAGCAGAAUGAUUGCCGGGCUGAAGACCCUGCAUGACUAGCUGAGAGGAGGUGCAUGGCGUAGACGUCU
rnacentral:rRNA from 1 species